rnacentral:rRNA from 1 species
AACGAACGCUGGCGGCGUGCUUAACACAUGCAAGUCGAACGGUAAGGCCCUUCGGGGUACACGAGUGGCGAACGGGUGAGUAACACGUGGGUGAUCUGCCCUGCACUUCGGGAUAAGCCUGGGAAACUGGGUCUAAUACCGGAUAGGACUCCUGGCUUCAUGGUUGGGGGUGGAAAGCUUUUGCGGUGUGGGAUGGGGCCGCGGCCUAUCAGCUUGUUGGUGGGGUAAUGGCCUACCAAGGCGACGACGGGUAGCCGGCCUGAGAGGGUGACCGGUCACACUGGGACUGAUGUACGGGCCAGUCUCCUACGGGAGGCAGCAGUGGGGAAUAUUGCACAAUGGGCGCAAGCCUGAUGCAGCGACGCCGCGUGAGGGAUGACGGCCCUCGGGUUGUAACCCUCUUUCAGCUAUGACGAAGCGCAAGUGACGGUAGUAGCAGAAGAAGGACCGGCCAACUACGUGCCAGCAGCCGCAGUAAAAC